CAUGAAUAUUUUUAUUCAAUGACUAUAUAUAGAUAUAUCUAUAUAGAACUAAUGAGAAAUGAUGAGUAUGAUGAUGGUUUAAUACUGCCCAACAAUCUGACAAAAAUAUCAUACACUGUACAAAAAUAUCACAGAAUUAGUAUAAUCGGCCAGAUUUUAUAUCAACUUUUAACUAUACAAGAAAAGUAUUUCUAAUUUUUUACCAUCAACAAUUCAAUUUUCAAACAGAGCAAAGAUAGUUUUUUGUUAAAAUUUGUUUAAGGAGAGAUAAGAAGUUUUUGUUAAAAUUUGUUUAAGGGGAGAUAACUCUCCUUAUUAUCAUCAUUUACUUGUAUUAAAAAUUGGUUGGCAACUAGUAAAUUCAUAACUUACUCAACAUCUUU
rnacentral:lncRNA from 1 species